CCUACGGGAGGCAGCAGUGGGGGAUAUUGCACAAUGGACGCAACUCUGAUGCAGCGACGCCGCGUGAGGGAAGACGGUCUUCGGAUUGUAAACCUCUUUCUUUGGGGAAGAAAAUGACGGUACCCAUAGAGGAAGCUCCAGCUAAAUACGUGCCAGCAGCCGCGGUAAUACGUAGAGAUCGCGCGGUGUCCGGAAUUACUGGGGGUAAAGGGGGCGUAGGUGGGCGUGAAGGUUGAAUGUUAAAUCUCCUGGGUCAACUGGUAGCUGCGUUCGAAACUGCUUGUCUUGAGGGAAGUAGAGGCAGGCGGAAUUCCUAGUGUAGCGGUGAAAUGCGUAGAUAUUAGGAGGAACACCAGUGGCGAAGGCGGCCUGCUGGGCUCUAACUGACGCUGAGGCUCGAAAGCGUGGGGAGCAAACAGGAUUAGAUACCCUAGUAGUC
rnacentral:rRNA from 1 species